rnacentral:rRNA from 1 species
UACGGAGGGGGCUAGCGUUGUUCGGAUUUACUGGGCGUAAAGGGCGCGUAGGCGGCGCAACAAGCCACUUGUGAAAUCUCCGGGCUUAACCCGGAGCGGUCAAGUGGUACUGUCGUGCUAGAGUGCGGAAGGGGCUACUGGAAUUCUCGGUGUAGCGGUGAAAUGCGUAGAUAUCGAGAGGAACACCAGUGGCGAAGGCGAUCACCUGGGGUUGUUCUGACGCUGAGGAGCGAAAGCUAGGGGAGCAAACGGG